AAUUCCACCAGCCGUCUCGUGCGGGGCGAUGCGUGUCGCCUAGGCCCCAUGCACCGCUGUUUCAACGUUAUCUUCUCAUGGACUCAUCCUCGCAUCUUCCCAUGCCUUUUCUUCUUCCCAUCGCUGAUUCACUUCCUCUCUUCUCCUCCCUUCCGUAGCUCUCGAUCCAGAUCGGAUAGAGUCCACCACCGACAGCCCUCCUCGAGCGCCUCCUUCCUUCCUCCACGCGCUCAGCGCCCAAAUUGACUUGCCGCGCCCUCGCGCACAUCGCCCGACCGGAGCUCUAGCGCCUCCUCACAACACCCUCCUUUCUCCUUCUUCCUCUCUCCCUUCCCUGCCUCAGUUCUUUCUUUUUCCCUCGCCAUGCAGGGAGCAUCCGCAGGGAGCCUCGCCGCUGCUGCCACCACCCGGACAUCGUCGCGCCGCCGCCUCCUCCGAGUUCGCCGGCCACUGGCGCUUGUCCUCCCCUGCAACCUCUGCCUCGCCAUGCGUGAGGACACUGAUGACAGCGGGACGCCAUCGACGGUCCUUCUCGCCUCGCCCGCGUGGGCGCGCCUUCCUUCUCGCCUCGCUUGCGUGGGCCGCACUGCGCGCGGGCAAGCCGGCCCUUGCCGGUGGAAGACUCGGUGCGGCGAGGCCGCUCGGGAUAGGUGACGGCGAUUGGGACUCUCCUUUGCAUUUGUUCUUUAUUGUCCCAUCUGCAUCUCUGCUUUCUUCACCAAAGAUGUUGAAUCCGAUGCUGCUGAUUGUAAGCUCCUAUUAUUGGAGAGUUUAUUUAUUCCUUUGCUCCCUCACUUGCGGGAUUAAUUCCUUUGUUCGGAGAGGCGAGGUCGGGGAGGAGGCCGAGGUUGCGGAGUACAACGGCACGACCUGGCUGGGGCCUCGGGGUGGCGCGUGGAGAUGCGCGACGGGCGCUGCUGGUGGUCGCCGACGACGGCGGGUGGAGAGGGGCCGCCGGAGCGGUGCAAGGAGGCUUGUGGCGCGGGCACAGGAGCUCGGACGGGAGCGCGCCUCUCCGCGCCGUCCAUCCUCCCGCGUGAUGCACAUCGGCCGCUGGCGCACGACGGAAUGGGCGAAGCCGUCGGCGCAGGACAGAGUGGAUAAGACGGACGGGGAGGACUGCGGACAGAAUUCAAAUGACUAUAAGGUUUCUUUUGUCAAAGUGAAACGUUUUCUCUGGUUGCCACUAAAACAGGGAGCGCGGGUUGAUUUUAUGUAAACUGAGG
rnacentral:rRNA from 1 species